CGGGGUGUAGCGCAGUCUGGCUAGCGCACCUGCUUUGGGAGCAGGGGGUCGGAGGUUCGAAUCCUCUCGCCCCGACCA
rnacentral:tRNA from 1 species